rnacentral:miRNA from 1 species
AGAGAGUAUAUUGAUUUUAGGU